rnacentral:rRNA from 1 species
GAUUAACGCUGGCGGCGUGCAUAACACAUUCAAGUCGAACGGUGAAGGGACUUCGGUCCCGGAUCAGUGGCGGACGGGUGAGUAACGCGUGAGCAACCUGCCCUUGUGUGGGGGAUAACGUUUGGAAACGGACGCUAAUACCGCAUAACCCAAUAGUACGGCAUCGUACAGUUGGCAAAGAUUUAUUGCACAAGGAUGGGCUCGAGUCUGAUUAGGUAGUUGGUGGGGUAACGGCCUACCAAGCCGACGAUCAGUAGCCGGACUGAGAGGUUGAACGGCCACAUUGGAACUGAGAUACGGUCCAGACUCCUACGGGAGGCAGCAGUGGGGAAUAUUGGGCAAUGGGGGAAACCCUGACCCAGCGACGCCGCGUGAGGGAAGAAGGUCUUCGGAUUGUAAACCUUAAACAACAGGGACGAAGAAAGUGACGGUACCUGUUAGGAAGCCACGGCUAACUACGUGCCAGCCGCCGCAGUAAAAC